rnacentral:rRNA from 1 species
UACUGAGGGUGCAAGCGUUAAUCGGAAUUACUGGGCGUAAAGCGUGCGCAGGCGGUUUGUUAAGUCCGCUGUGAAAUCCCCGAGCUCAACUUGGGAAUUGCAGUGGAUACUGGCAAGCUGGAGUAUGGUAGAGGAAGGUGGAAUUCCCGGUGUAGCAGUGAAAUGCGUAGAGAUCGGGAGGAACACCAGUGGCGAAGGCGGCCUUCUGGACCAAUACUGACGCUCAUGCACGAAAGCGUGGGGAGCAAACAGG